CGCUGGCGGCAUGCCUUACACAUGCAAGUCGAACGGCAGCGCGGGGCAACCUGGCGGCGAGUGGCGAACGGGUGAGUAAUAUAUCGGAACGUACCCUGGAGUGGGGGAUAACGUAGCGAAAGUUACGCUAAUACCGCAUACGAUCUAAGGAUGAAAGUGGGGGAUCGCAAGACCUCAUGCUCCUGGAGCGGCCGAUAUCUGAUUAGCUAGUUGGUAGGGUAAAAGCCUACCAAGGCAUCGAUCAGUAGCUGGUCUGAGAGGACGACCAGCCACACUGGAACUGAGACACGGUCCAGACUCCUACGGGAGGCAGCAGUGGGGAAUUUUGGACAAUGGGCGCAAGCCUGAUCCAGCAAUGCCGCGUGAGUGAAGAAGGCCUUCGGGUUGUAAAGCUCUUUUGUCAGGGAAGAAACGAUAUCCUCUAAUACAGGGUGUUAAUGACGGUACCUGAAGAAUAAGCACCGGCU
rnacentral:rRNA from 1 species